GACGUGGCUUGCCUGUUCCUGCGCGAUGCUCCUAUCCGUGCUCUCCGUCCGCACGUUUACCAUCCACGGCUACCAUCUGGUCUGGCAGCCCCACGAACUUCGCCCACCGGCGAAACCUCCUCGAGAUCCCGCUGGUCCGACUCCGCGGCGAGCGAGUGAGCGAGAGAUAGCGGCGGCGACGGUGCAGGCGCUGAGAAGCGGGCACCAGAUGCCAGUGAUGGGAUUGGGCAUCUGGCGGAUGGAGACCCGGCCAUCCUCGGCCUCAUCCAUUCCGCCCUCGUGCUGGGUAGUGGGUACCGUCGGCAGGGUGUGGUUCAAGUAAACGGCAGCCGUGAUGACGACGGCCACGGCAACGAAGACAAGUCGAUGACGGCCACGGCGGCCAGUAAGGGGCUAUCAGCUACACAAACAAUCUGAAGCUGAAUUACAAGCACUUGAAGGGAUGCUUACCGUAGAAAAUGCCUCAGAUUGUGAUGCCAGUGAGGAAUUGAGUUUAGGGAUAUGCCACCUAGAAAGGUGAGAAUUGUUCCUUUGAUUGGCGCUGUUGGAAGACAAAGCUAAGGUCAUAGAGGGAUUGGAGAUCGAAAUUCCAUUGCUUAAUUCUUCUGAAAAGGGUGGUUUGAUGUCAGAUAAUGAAAAACUAAAUAAUAGUACUAAAAUGUUAAGUAAAGACAAUGAAUAUCUCGAUGCAGAUAUACUUAAGUUAAGUGACAGGCUUCAGAUGGCAAUGGCGUUAGCAGAGGAGAAUGUAGCUGCUGCGAUUGAAGCUAGGCAAAUAAGUGUUGUAUUACUAACGCCUUUUAUUUCCAUGCCAAUUUAUAUAAAAUUACUUAUCCUGCUUCUAUAGGCUCUGCAGAGAUAAGCAAAAUCUAUGCAAAAGAGAGAGAUGAGGAUGUUACGAUUUUUUAACGUUAUGUCAAGGAGCUUGAAUCUACAGUAACUGUUUUCUAGGAAGAAAUUUCAAUGGGACGUGCGAUUCUGUCCAGAGGGCGUCGUAGCUGGAGAGGCUGGUGUUGCAGUGGAGGCGUUGUCAAAGAAGACCGAAGAAAGAAAAUUUUGAUGCAUAUUUUCGAGGGUGUCGUUUAAGUUUGUUGUCCCGCUGCAACGCACGAGCAUUUCGGCUAGUGCUAAAAAAAAAAGCAAGCAACCUCCUCCGUAUUUCCUUUUUU